UACGAAGGGGGGCUAGCGUUGCUCGGAAUCACUGGGCGUAAAGCGCACGUAGGCGGAUUGUUAAGUCAGGGGUGAAAUCCUGGAGCUCAACUCCAGAACUGCCUUUGAUACUGGCGAUCUCGAGUCCGGGAGAGGUGAGUGGAACUGAGAGUGUAGAGGUGAAAAUUCGUAGAUAUUCGGAGGAACACCAGUGGCGAAGGCGGCUCACUGGCUCGGUACUGACGCUGAGGUGCGAAAGCGUGGGGAGCAAACAGA
rnacentral:rRNA from 1 species